rnacentral:rRNA from 1 species
CACGUCAGGGGUUUCGUUAGGUGACCUGGGAAGGAUCAUUA